GUCUACAGCCAUGCCACCCUGAACAAGCCUGAUCCCAUCUGAUCUCAGAAGCUAAGCAGGAUCGGGCCUGGUUAGUACUUGGAUGGGAGACUACCUAGAAAGACCAGGUCAUGCAGACA
rnacentral:rRNA from 1 species